rnacentral:rRNA from 1 species
AUUGAACGCUAGCGGCAUGCCUUACACAUGCAAGUCGAACGAGUGGCGGACGGGUGAGUAAUGUCUCGGAACCUGCCCAGUCGCGGGGGAUCACUACUUGAAAGCGUAGCUAAUACCGCAUACUAUUGGAGCUGCCCAGAUCGGAUUAGCUAGUUGGUGGGGUAAAGGCUCACCAGGGCAACGAUCCGUAGCUGGUAUGAGAGGAUGACCAGCCACACUGGAACUGAGACACGGCCCAGACUCCUACGGGAGGCAGCAGUGGGGAAUAUUGGACAAUGGGGGAAACCCUGAUGCAGCCAUGCCGCGUGUAGGAGAAGGCCUUCGGGUUGUAAAGUACUUUCAGCGGGGAGGCGGUACCGGCAGAAGAAGCACCGGCUAACUACGUGCCAGCAGCCGCGGUAAUAC